rnacentral:rRNA from 1 species
AUUGAACGCUGGCGGCAGGCCUAACACAUGCAAGUCGAACGGUAACAGGAAACAGCUUGCUGUUUCGCUGACGAGUGGAGGACGGGUGAGUAAUGUCUGGGAAACUGCCUGAUGGAGAGGGAUAACUACUGGAAACGGUAGCUAAUACCGCAUAACGUCGCAAGACCAAAGAGGGGGAUCCUCGGGGCUCUUGCCAUCGUAUGUGCCCAGAUGGGAUUAGCUUGUUUGUGGGGUAACGGCUCACCACGGCGACGAUCCCUAGCUGGUCUGAGAGGAUGACAGGCCACACUGGAACUGAGACGCGGUCCAGACGCCUGCGGGAGGCAGCAGUGGGGAAUAUUGCGCAGUGGGCGCAAGCCUGAUGCAGCCAGGCCGCGUGUAUUGAGGCGGCCUUCGGGUUGUAAAGUACUUUCAGCGGGGAGGAAGGGAGUAAAGUUAAUACCUUGGCUCAUUGACGGUACCCGCAGAAGAAGCACCGGCUAACUCCGCG